UACGUAGGGUGCAAGCGUUGUCCGGAAUUAUUGGGCGUAAAGCGCACGUAGGCGGCUUUGUAAGUUAGAGGUGAAAGCCCAGGGCUUAACCCUGGAAUUGCCUUUAAGACUGCAUCGCUAGAAUUGUGGAGAGGUAAGUGGAAUUCCGAGUGUAGAGGUGAAAUUCGUAGAUAUUCGGAAGAACACCAGUGGCGAAGGCGACUUACUGGACACAUAUUGACGCUGAGGUGCGAAAGCGUGGGGAGCAAACAGG
rnacentral:rRNA from 1 species